GACGAACGCUGGCGGCGUGCUUAACACAUGCAAGUCGAACGGAAAGGCCCUGCUUUUGUGGGGUGCUCGAGUGGCGAACGGGUGAGUAACACGUGAGUAACCUGCCCUUGACUUUGUGAUAACUUCAGGAAACUGGGGCUAAUACCGGAUAUGAGCUCCUGCUGCAUGGUGGUGGUUGGAAAAUUUCGGCUGUUGGGGAUGGACUCGCGGCUUAUCAGCUUGUUGGUGAGGUAGUGGCUUACCAAGGCUUUGACGGGUAGCCGGCAUGAGAGGGUGACCGGCCACAUUGGGACUGAGAUACGGCGCAGUAUCCUACGGGAGGCAGCAGUGGGGAAUAUUGCACAAUGGGCGGAAGCCUGAUGCAGCAACGCCGCGUGCGGGAUGACGGCCUUCGGGUUGUAAACCGAUUUCGCCUGUGCCGAAGCGUGAGUGACGGUAAUGGGUAAAGAAGCACCGGCUAACUACGUG
rnacentral:rRNA from 1 species